CUCCAGGAAGAGCCAAAGAGAGUGUUUACAAAGAUUUGGCUGUUGUAUUGACCUAGAUUAGGACAAUUACUGUCUGUCGCUGCUAAUUUGUUGCUGUGCUGCUAAGCAGUAUACAGAACGGAGGGACUACCGGAAGUCUCUAUGCCUUCUUGGUUCUUCUAUCUUAGGUUUUCUGUGCUUGACUUGGCUAACUUUGCAAGUAUAGGGGCAGGUAGUUUAUUGAGGUGAUAGAGGGUUAUCAGAUAAUUUGCUUCUACUUGGGACAAAGUAGAUAAGUUUUGUAAUGGGUGAUCGUGAUGAGAAUAAUGGUUAAAAGUUAGGAAGUAUCAUUAGAUGGUUUUUAAAAUUAAUAUUUGGCAAUGAUUGCCAAAGGCAAUUGGCACUAUUUACAUGAAUCUUGAGAUGUGAGAAUUGGGAUGUAAGUAUCUCUGUCCAUUUGGGGAAAUCACAGAUACCAGCAUUGAACUCUUAAGGGCUUCUGAGGAAUUAAAUCCUAAUGCCUUUAAAUUUACUCAGUACAAGUCAUGUCCUAACCUUAACCAUGGUUGUGUGGGUUCAAAGCUAGGUUUCUGACCUUUGAAACAGUAGUUUUCUCAAACUUAGAACAUUUCUAUAUUUUGCCAAGUUGUUCAUAUAAUUAAUAUUAAUGGAUAACUAAUUGGAGUAAUGAUUAUUAGCUACUAAAUGCUGAUAAUAGAAGUCAUAUUUAAAUGCUUAGUUACUUAAGUUAGUCAAGGACUCUGAAAAAAUAAGGUUUAAGUUAAUAAUUUCAUCAGUCAUUUCCAGUUACCUUAUUUAAGAACAAGAUGGUAAUGCAGUUGCCUUUGUUUAUUUAAAUAGAAAAAAUUAAAUUAGGAGAAAAUGACCCAACUAGAGCGAUGUAUUUGGACACACUACUUCUUAUCUUUCAAUAUAGACUUUUAUUUUCUGGAUUACCAUAGAUGGAAAUAGUAUUACUGGACAUAUGUUGGUAGGUAUUUACUUCUGUUUUUCUUUUUCCUUUAAUUUCAAAUACUUCUAGCUACAAAAAUUGUCAAAAACUUUGCAACACACUAUACCUCCCCCUUUUUUAUUCUGUAACAGAAUUACAGAAUAAAAAUUCAGGCCAGCCGCAAUGGCUCACACCUGUAAUCCCAGCACUUUGGGAGGCUGAGGCAGGCAGAUCACCUGAGGUCGGGAGUUUGAGACCAGCCUGACCAACAUGGAAAAACCUUGCCUCUACUAAAAAUACAAAAUUAGCCAGGCAUGGUGGCACAUGCCUGUAAUCCCAGCUACUUGGGAGGCUGAGGCAGGAGAAUUGCUUGAACCCAGGAGGCAGAGGUUGCAGUGAGCCAAGAUAGCGCCAUUGCACUCCAGCCUGGGCAACAAGAGCGAAAUUCCUACUCAAAAAAAAAAAAAACUAUCCCUCCCUGAACACCGUAUGUUUCUAAUUUUUCAUCUACUUGAUUGAUUCAGUAAUAGCACCAACUAUAACAAGGAAAGUAAGUAUUGCAUAUCAUAUAUCCAGUAUAGAGUCCAUUUUCCGAUGCUAUAUUUAAAACAUGUAGAUACUACAAUUUUCUCUGAGCCAAAUCAUUGACUUAAGAGUAUCUCCUAAAAUCAAACUUCAAUAAAAUCUCAGUACAACUACAAAAAAUAUGUAUACCAAAGUAUUUUACAGACAGUAAUUGGUCAUAAAAAACCAAAAGACAUAGCUGCUCUGUACUAGUAAUUUCAUAAAAGGGGCCAAGGCACAGUGGCUCACACCUGUAAUCCCAGCACUUUGGGAGGCCGAGGCAGGCAGAUCAUGAGAUCAAGAGAUCAAGACCACCCUGGCCAAAAUGGUGAAACCCCAUCUCUACUAAAUACAAAAAUUAGCUGGCCAUGGUGGCACGCACCUGUAGUCCCAGCUACUUGAGAGGCUGAGGCUUGAAUCGCUUGAACCCAAGAGGUAGAGGUUGCAUUGAGCUGAGAUCACACCACUGCACUCCAGCCUAGCGACGGGGCGAGACUCUGUCUCAAAAAAAAAAAAAA
rnacentral:lncRNA from 1 species